rnacentral:ncRNA from 1 species
UAUAAAAUAAACCAUUAUUAUAAUAUUAAUUAAAAAGUUUUAUUCUAGCUAAAUAUUUAUUUGAAUUAUUUUUUAAAUAUAAAUUAAAUAGAUUUAAUUAUAUUAUUUAUUAUAAAAUAUUAGUUUUUAAUUUAAAUUAGAACUAGAAAUAAUUUUAAUAUAAUUAGAUAAUUUUGUGCCAGCAUCUGCGGUUAUACAUAAGAUUAAAGUAAAUAUUAUUAAUUUAUAAACUAAAAAAUUUUUAUUAAAUUUAUUUUUUAAUUUUAUUAGAUAAAAUUUGAAUUUUAUUAUAAAUUUAUUUUAUGAAGUUUUGAAAAAUUGUAUAAUAAACUAGGAUUAGAUACCCUAUUAUUGUAAUGGAAAAAUUUUUAAUUGAGUAGUAAAAAAAAAAAUUAAUUUUUAAACUUAAAGAAUUUGGCGGCAUUUUAUUCUGUUUAGAGGAAUAUGUUUUUAUAAUUUGAUAAUCCACAAAAAUCUUACUUAAUUUAAAGUUUUGUAUAUCUCCGUCAUAAGAAUGUUUUAUAAGAAGUUUUUCUAUAUAUAAUUUAAUAUAAAAUGUCAGGUCAAGGUGCAGAUUAUGAUUAAGAAAAAAUGUAUUACAAUAAAAUUAUUUUUGGUUUUAGUUUUGAAAAAAUUUAAUUAAAUUGGAUUUAAAAGUAAAUAUUUAAAUAUUAUUUUUUUUUGAAAAAGUUUUAAAGUGUGUACAUAUCGCCCGUCACUCUCUUAUUAAUUAGAGAUAAGUCGUAACAAAGUAGAUUUACUGGAAAGUAAAUCUUGAAUAUUAAA